CUCUGAUGGAAUAUAGGUAUAAAUGUCCCUCCGACCUGAGAUCGCUACGGUGACUUGCAAGCAACUCACUGCACUUAGGCACUAGACUACCUGAAUUUCUAAUUCAGUGACGGAAGGCUGCUGGCUGUAGUCAAGUACUUGACUUAUCGAUGCAUGUGUCAAGAUGGGAUUGACCACUCCAGUUUAGAAGAUGUGUACAGUCGUGUUUCAAUUUAGCAAAACCUUGGCCAGGAUAGUCUUUGUGAGGAGUCACAGGACUGUUUGAGUUGAGCACGAUUCGGAUGAUCUAAUCAGGGUUGAC
rnacentral:lncRNA from 1 species